GACGAACGCUGGCGGCGUGCUUAACACAUGCAAGUCGAACGGAAAGGCCCUGCUUUUGUGGGGUGCUCGAGUGGCGAACGGGUGAGUAACAUGUGAGUAACCUGCCCUUGACUUUGGGAUAACUUCAGGAAACUGGGGCUAAUACCGGAUAGGAGCUCCUGCUGCAUGGUGGGGGUUGGAAAGUUUCGGCGGUUGGGGAUGGACUCGCGGCUUAUCAGCUUGUUGGUGGGGUAGUGGCUUACCAAGGCUUUGACGGGUAGCCGGCCUGAGAGGGUGACCGGCCACAUUGGGACUGAGAUACGGCCCAGACUCCUACGGGAGGCAGCAGUGGGGAAUAUUGCACAAUGGGCGGAAGCCUGAUGCAGCAACGCCGCGUGCGGGAUGACGGCCUUCGGGUUGUAAACCGCUUUCGCCUGUGACGAAGCGUGAGUGACGGUAAUGGGUAAAGAAGCACCGGCUAACUACGUGCCAGCAGCCGCGGUGAUACGUAGGGUGCGAGCGUUGUCCGGAUUUAUUGGGCGUAAAGGGCUCGUAGGUGGUUGAUCGCGUCGGAAGUGUAAUCUUGGGGCUUAACCCUGAGCGUGCUUUCGAUACGGGUUGACUUGAGGAAGGUAGGGGAGAAUGGAAUUCCUGGUGGAGCGGUGGAAUGCGCAGAUAUCAGGAGGAACACCAGUGGCGAAGGCGGUUCUCUGGGCCUUUCCUGACGCUGAGGAGCGAAAGCGUGGGGAGCGAACAGGCUUAGAUACCCUGGUAGUCCACGCUGUAAACGGUGGGUACUAGGUGUGGGGUCCGUUCCACGGGUUCCGUGCCGUAGCUAACGCUUUAAGUACCCCGCCUGGGGAGUACGGCCGCAAGGCUAAAACUCAAAGGAAUUGACGGGGCCCCGCACAAGCGGCGGAGCAUGCGGAUUAAUUCGAUGCAACGCGUAGAACCUUACCUGGGUUUGACAUGGAUCGGGAGUGCUCAGAGAUGGGUGUGCCUCUUUUGGGGUCGGUUCACAGGUGGUGCAUGGCUGUCGUCAGCUCGUGUCGUGAGAUGUUGGGUUAAGUCCCGCAACGAGCGCAACCCUUGUUCACUGUUGCCAGCACGUUAUGGUGGGGACUCAGUGGAGACCGCCGGGGUCAACUCGGAGGAAGGUGGGGAUGACGUCAAGUCAUCAUGCCCCUUAUGUCCAGGGCUUCACGCAUGCUACAAUGGCUGGUACAGAGAGUGGCGAGCCUGUGAGGGUGAGCGAAUCUCGGAAAGCCGGUCUCAGUUCGGAUUGGGGUCUGCAACUCGACCUCAUGAAGUCGGAGUCGCUAGUAAUCGCAGAUCAGCAACGCUGCGGUGAAUACGUUCCCGGGGCU
rnacentral:rRNA from 1 species